rnacentral:rRNA from 1 species
AGGACGACGGCUGGCGGCGUGCUUAACACAUGCAAGUCGAACGGACCGAGUUGAUAGCUUGCUAUUGAUGAGGUUAGUGGCAAACGGGUGAGUAACGCGUAGGCAACCUGCCCUUCAGAUGGGGACAACACCUCGAAAGGGGUGCUAAUACCGAAUGACGUUUCCUAGUCGCAUGACCUGGAAACCAAAGGCCGGGCAACCGGUCACUGAAGGAUGGGCCUGCGUCUGAUUAGCUAGUUGGUGGGGUAACGGCCCACCAAGGCGACGAUCAGUAGCCGGUCUGAGAGGAUGAACGGCCACAUUGGGACUGAGACACGGCCCAAACUCCUACGGGAGGCAGCAGUGGGGAAUCUUCCGCAAUGGGCGCAAGCCUGACGGAGCAACGCCGCGUGAGUGAAGAAGGUUUUCGGAUCGUAAAGCUCUGUUGAGAGGGACGAGAGACAUAAUCAGGAAAUGGGUUAUGGAGGACGGUACCUUUCGAGGAAGCCACGGCUAACUACGUG